GGAGCUGAAAAGUCAGACAGUUAAGGGCGACUGUGGAAGGUGGAGCAGUUGGGAAGCUCUCCCCGGUGGGGGGGGCUACAGAGGCAAGGCUUCCAACCUCCAAGGAGAAAGAAAAAGAAUGGCGGUAAAAGUGGCAGGAAUAAUGUGAUUUUGGCGGGUAUCACGAUAAGGGGUAUGAAAACUGAGGCUCAGGGAAGUUAUACCAAGCCACACAAAUUGUAUUUUAAACAACAGCCUCUUUAAAUUCAAGUUCAGCAUUCUGAUUACACUCCAAAGCCAGCAGCAGCGCAGUCGUCCUCUGACAGCAGGGCUUUCAGGAUCGAACGGGGACAGGAGGGAGCCUGCCCAUACCAAGAGGGACUCAUCCUGAAAAGCUGUUUCUCUAGAUCAAAACUACUCUUCACUACCGUGCCAGUGAGUUCCUGGAACAAUUAUUUUACACCAUUGAGCUGGAGUUUUGAAGAAGCCCAAGACCGAUUUGAGAAUAAAGAAUAAA